rnacentral:rRNA from 1 species
GAUGAACGCUGGCGGCGUGCCUAAUACAUGCAAGUCGAGCGAAAGGACGAGAAGCUUGCUUCUCUGAUGUUAGCGGAAGACGGGUGAGUAACACGUGGAUACCCUCCCUAUCAGACUGGUAUAACUUCGGGAAACCGGCGCUAAUCCCGGAUGAUCUUUUGAUCCGCAUGGUUCAUAGGUGAAAGACGGUGUUGCUGUCACUUAUAGCUGGAUCCGCGCUGCUUUAGAUAGUUGGUAAGGUCCAGGCUUAUCACGGCAACGAUGCAUAGCCGACCUGUGAGGGUGGUAGCCCACACUGGAGCUGAGACGGGGACCAGACUCCUACGGUAGGGACCAGUAGGGAAUCGGCCGCAGUGGGCGAAAGCCUGGCGGAGCGGCGCGGCGUGUGUGAUGGAGGUCUUGGGAUCGUAAUACUCUGUUAUGAGGGAAGAACAGAUGUGGAAGUAGCUGUGCACAGCGUGACGGUACUUAAUCAGAAAGCAACGGCUAACUACGUG